AAUCAACGCUGGCGGCGUGCCUAACACAUGCAAGUCGAACGCGAAAGUCCCGCAAGGGAUAAGUAGAGUGGCAAACGGGUGAGUAACACGUGGGUGACCUGCCUUCGAGCGGGGGAUAAC
rnacentral:rRNA from 1 species